UAUUGUUGAAAGAUCCCCGAAGGGAGACCCUUACUCAAGUCUUGGGAAGUCGUGGACCCCAGACACAGAGAGACCA
rnacentral:pre_miRNA from 14 species